rnacentral:rRNA from 1 species
CCUACGGGAGGCAGCAGAGAGGAAUAUUGGUCAAUGGACGGAAGGCUGAACCAGCCAAGCCGCGUGAAGGACGAAGGUGCCAAGCAUUGUAAACUUCUUUUGUCAAGGGACAAAAUCAGGCUCGAGAGCCUGACCGAGGGUACUUGAAGAAAAAGCAUCGGCUAACUCCGUGCCAGCAGCCGCGGUAAUACGGAGGAUGCGAGCGUUAUCCGGAGAUAUUGGGUUUAAAGGGUGCGUGGGCGGGCUGUUAAGUCAGCGGUAAAAGCCCGGGGCUCAACCCCGGCGAGCCGUUGAAACUGGCUGUCUUGAGAUGUCGAGAGGUAUGCGGAAUGCGCAGUGUAGCGGUGAAAUGCGUAGAUAUUUCGCAGAACUCCGAUUGCGAAGGCAGCAUACCGGCGGCGAUCUGACGCUGAGGCACGAAAGCGUGGGUAUCGAACAGGAUUAGAUACCCCGGUAGUC